rnacentral:lncRNA from 1 species
CAGUAUGGGCAUGUUCAAUGCUCUUCUCUGCAGAAGCAUUUAAAUAGAUAUAAUAUUGUUUGCAGAAUUUCAUAGCACUUAUGAACGCAUAAAUAUUUUUACAAAAGGUAGAGACAAAAACCUUAUGCAUGUUAUGUUAAUUUGCAUGAAUCCAGUGUAAUAUCUCCAAUAUCAUUUUUCUUCAAGCAUUUUAUGUUUAUAUUAAUGUGAUUUUAGUUUAGUGAUAAAGUUUUCAUGCCAGGCUUAAUUUCAGACAGUUUUGUGAUGAAGACCUCAUUGUGUAUGAAUUAAGGAUGUAUGACAAUAACUGCUCUGGUUAAGCAAUACAAAGUGGAAUUGAACUAUAUUUAUUUUUUAUUGAAAGGAGGAAAUGUUGUGGGUAUUGAGAGGCAAGCUUGAUAAGAUCUGCAGUUGUAGUGUUGAAAAUUAGAUGGUUAUUAAGAAAAUAUUUAGAAUAAAUGCCAUUGUUUCGUUUGUUUCUUAGUGAUCUUCUUUUCUCCUGGCAUUUGUUUUAUGUGUUUUUUUUUGUUUUGAUAUAUUUUUUCCAAUUGGUAUUAUUUUAUUUUGUGCCCUUUGAGUUGUUCAUUGGUUAAAAAAAACCCUCAUUAUUAUUGUUUUAUUGUCAAGUUAAUUAAAUAAAUUAUUAGAAUUCCAGAUAUACUUGGCCAGUCUGGUGGGUUGUUAUUUUAGUAAGCUUCUGUUUGUUUAUUUCAAUUAACCUGUGAUUUUACCAUUGAGUGAAUAUGGCUCUUUGUCCAGCAUAGGGGGCUGUAUCAGGUGCUUGUGCUCUACUGGCAUAACUCUGAGGGUCAGUCAUUAAGUCAUACAAGUCACCCCACUACAAGGACUGCACUUUGUAGUGGCCAUGGUUAUGUUAUAAAUCAUAAUUUCCUUAUGAUACAGCUGUUUUAUUUGUUAUUGUUCUUUUUAAUCCCAAUAGAUUACUGCUAUUCUGAUACCCGUUUUCCAGCCAUGUCUAUUGUUCCUUUCCUUUGAGGUUUCUUGAUUACUAUAAUUACUUUACAUAUUCCUGUUUUAUUCCAAAAUCUUAAUUGUACUAACCACAACUCCUUCUUUCCUUCUUUAACUACGACUAUAUUGUUACUACCAUAUCUUAUUCUAUCAUCAGUAUUUCUGUUACUAUUCUUGCUACUCCUGAUUCUACUCUCUUAAUUAUAGUAUUACUGCUAUUUCAUACUUCUACUGUAUUCUCUCUUCUGUUUUCUUUAUCUAUGUAACAGCUACUCCUCAAUAAUCCACUUUUUUUAGCCCUUUCUUAGCUGGUGCUUGUUACUCCCUGAAUAUUUGCAAUAAUUCUGCUUUCUCUUGCUUUUGCUCUUCAGAAACUAUAGUGCUAUUCCUUGGUAACUCUUCUAUUGCUACUUCAUAAGGGUGUCUUCUUUUAGCCUUCCAGCUGUUAAGCUUAUGCUACAUCUCUGCAUUUAUGUGGCUUCCGUUCUCAGUACUUCUCUUUGUUACUCCUUUCUCAUUUUGCUACUAUUUUUCUUCAUUUAUCUACUCCCACUUCCUUCAAGCUACCUUCUUUUGUCUUUUAAGCACUCCAUCUCACUUUCAGUUACCUUUUCCUUUUAGCUACACUUUUCUCCUUUCUUCUCUCAAUAUAUAUUCAUUUUGUUUUUUGCUAGUCAUCAUUCCAUAUAUCUUAUGUUUGCUUUUGCUUCUCCUAUUCAUCUUCAUUUAGUUUUGCUGUACCUUAUUAUUUCUACUUCUAUUUCUCAUGAUACUUAAUCAUUUAGGUUUACAGAUUCUUUCCGUCUUUUUCUUAUACAUCACUUACACUACUACUCCUUCCACAAUUGUUUUAACCUUCUUUACUAUUUAACCCUUUAACAUUUAAACCGGUCAUAUCCGGCCAAAAUAUUCUACCUGUUUUAUGGUCAAACUGGCCACAUCUGGCAUCUCAUACCAACUUUAUAAUAUCAUUCUAAAAUUAACAGUAACCCCUUCAAAAUCUCAAAGCUACAAGAUAAUCCAUGAUUAAUACAAAACAAAGAGAAUAAAUAAGUAUUGCAUUUAACAGAAUAAUGUGAAAGCUAAAGGAUUAAACUUGACCCUUUAGUAUGUAAACUGGUCAUACCUGGUCCAAAUAUUCUACUUGUUUUUACGUCCUAACUUGCCAGAUCUGGGCUCUCAUAUCUUUCCAAGAAUUAACAAUCACACCAACAAAAUCUCAAAACUAUGAGAUAAUGCAAGAUUAAUUUAAAACAAUGUGAGUUAAUAAGUAUUACCUUUGACAAUAAUCUGAAUGCUAAAGGGUUAUACAUCUGCUGCUCUUACUACUCAUUGCCAUCUGCACCAAGUGAUUGUUGUUGUUGUUGUGGCUAUCCCUGUAUGAAGUCCAGCAUUGCAAUUCAAACUAAAGUUGUUGAAUUACUUCUGCUUCAGAGAGAUUCAAGAUUUGAAAUUUCUAGACAGAACUUGGCCUUGGGCAAGUUUUGGUAGAGCAAUUUGCUUUCUGUUUAGAAUAUGGUUCCCUGUGAAAAACACUCUGCUAUGCUUUUCUCUUUAAUCUUUUGGCUAUCCGAAGCAUUUUCAUAAGUUUGUCCUAAAUGUCCAUGUUUGUUUCCAGACUUAUCAUUUGGUCCUUGUUUCAUGCUUUAUGAGUAAUAUAAAGCUUUACGUUUAUAGGUGCCAAGUAACAUUGGUAGCUGAGAAAAAAUUCUAUAUUUAUUGUAUAUGAUGUAUGGACACCAGGGAAAUAUGUCCUGUCUGUCACAUUUGAUAUACAGGAGAGGCAAAGGGUUAAACCUAUAAUUCUUUUUAAUCCUUUUUACCCUUUUUGAUCCUCUUUGUUACUUUGUCAAACUUCUAAGUCAAUUGCUUCUUUUACUUCACCUGUUAACCAGUAAUUACUGUUACAGGUAGUUAGUCUUCAUAAUGAUCCCUGCUUCCUUUAUUGAUUAGUUUCUUUUGGAGUUCUUACUACUGCUCACUAACUAAAGUUUCUUUUUUCCUCAAUGCUUUUCCUUACUAAGAUAUUCCCUACAUUAUUGUACAGUACCCUAAUGUAUUUUGUUCUUCCUGUCCCCUGUCAAGAGUUCCUCUAUUUCUUUCUUCUUCUGCUACGAGAUUUUGUUAUCAUUGUCAUGACUGUUAUAUUUCAUUGUUGUUGUUGCUGUUGUUUGUUAUAGUUGUUAUCCUUCAUUGUAGUUGUCGCUAUUUUUAUCGUCGUGAUUUUUGUUACCAUCACCAUUUUGCUGUUUCUUCACCCUUGCCAUCUCAUUUGCUAAUGUCCUCCUCUCUCUCUCUUCACCUUCCUGAUCACAUUGUUAUUGCCAUCUUUUGUCUUCAGUGCUGGUGUCAUCUCUUGUCGCUGUCCUCUAUCCUCUGCUGCUGUCUCUUACCUGUGUCAUUUUCUACCAUUUUCUUUACCAAUACUGCUCUUUUAUCUUAGAGUCAUCAUCUCCCCUUGUUUGGUGUCAUUAUUUAUCCUCAUCAAGUAUCACCAUCUUUCUUCUUCCAUUGUCCCCAUCUUUUCAUGUCCAGUUUCUCAAUCAUUCUUCAUCUGGUAUCUUCGUCUUCCUUAACCCUUUAGCAUUUAAACCGGACAUAUCUGGCCAAAAGUUUUCUGCCUGUUUUAUGUUCAAACUGGCCAGAUCUGGUCUCUCACACCAACCCUACAAUAUCAUUUUAAAAAUUAACAGCUACCUCAUCAAAAUCUCAUAGCUACAAGAUAAUGCAUGAUUAGCUCAAAACAAUGUAGAUAAAAAAGGAUUAAUUCUGGCAGAAUAAUGCAAACACGAAAGGGUUAAUCUGAUUUUACCAUUUCCCUUCAAUUGGUUCUUGUCUUUUGCCUAUGUUAUCACAUUUCACCCUACAUUAAAAUAUUGCAUUCACACACAUGAACCCAAGCACCCACACACAUUGCUAAUUACUCUGAAUAAAUGACCGAAGCAGUACCUGAUUUGAUGCCAUUUAACUAGAAUUCUACCGGCUGCUUUCCUUUAUAUUAUCCCCAACAUAACCUGAGCCUGUAAUUCAGUGUCUGCCUUAUGUCAUAUGAGAAAAUUCUUGGAUGGUUGUUAAGCUUUAAUCCUUUAUCAUUUAAACCGGCCAUAUUCGGUCGAAAUAUUCUACCUGUUUUAUCUUCUGAUUGGUCAUAUCUGGCUUUUCACACCUACUCCUAUAGUGUCUCUUUAAAAUUAAACAAUUGCAUACUCUUUUACUCUUUUCAGUCAUUUGACUGUGGCCAUGCUGGAGCACUGCCUUCAACCCCAAGCAAAUCAACCCCAGGGCUAAUUCUUUGGAAGCAUAGUACUUAUUCUAUCAGUCCCUUUUGCCAAACGGCUAAGUUACGGGGACGUAAACACACCAGCAUCGGUUGUCAAGCGAUGUUGGGGGGGACAAACACAGACACAUAAACAUAUACACACAUAUACAUAUAUACGAUAGGCUUCUUUCAGUUUCCAUCUACCAAAUCCACUCACAAGGCUUUGGUUGACCCAAGGCUAUAGUAGAAGACACUUGCCCAAGGUGCCAUGCAGUGGGAAUGAACCCGGAACCAUGUGGUUGGUAAGCAAGCUACUUACUACGCAGCCACUAUGAAAUAACAAAUGAUUAAUUUAAAACCAUGUGAAUGCAUAAGCAUUACAUUUGACAGAGUAAUCUGAAUGCUUAAGGGUUAUUAAGGGUUAUUACAUUAUUAAGGGUUAUUACAUUAUUGGGUUGUGUUUAUCUUUCAUCAUUGCUGUCCUCUUCAGUCUCAUUGCUGCCAUGUUUUAUUCCUCUCUUCGCCAUUGGUUUCAUCUUUCAUUAUCAGCCUUGCUAUCUUUUAAGAUUAUUAUACUACUUUAUUUUGUUUUUGUUGCUAUCAUUCACAUCCUCUUUGGGCAUCCAUAUCUUUACAUAUUUUGGUGUUGGCAUUGCCCAUAUGAUUUUGGCUUGCCUAUAUGUUUUGGUGUUGGUACUUCAUACAUCUCUUGGAAUCAUUGUCAGUGUCUUUUGUCCUUGUCAUCGAGAGCUUUCAAUAUUUUCAUUUGCUAUCUCUUUUGUUGUUGUCAUUCUUGUUACUUCAUUAGUUCUUCAGUUUCUUUUCCGUAAAUGUACUGAAACAAAUCUUACGUUGUUAGCAAUUGGUUUCUGAUCAAUAAUUUCUGUUGAUAAUUGUUUUUCUUUUGCUUUUUUUUUUCUUUCUUUUAUCCCUUUCCUUUCUCCCUCAAAUUAUCUGCUGCUGAAGGGUAAGGGAACCCACAUGUCUUACCAGGCUGAGAUGCAGAAACAGCUGAAGGAGGAGUUGAAAGAGCUGCACAGAGAGAAAAGCAUGGUUCGAGAAAACUUGAGUAGGACAACGGAGGAAUUGCUUCGCUAUUGCAGGGAGAAUGAAAACUCGGAUCACAUGCUCUUCCCUCAAAAAGAUAACCCUUUUGUUAAGACGGAUAGCAGCAUAUGUAUUCUGUGCCUCAAAUAAAAUGAAGUUUAAAUGAAGUUAAAUAAGAUAAAAGAAAAAUAAAUGCAGAAAUAAAGAAUAACAAAAAGAACAAGUUAUAAUAAAGAGAGUAAACAAAAUGAGUAGAUAAAAAAGUACAUAUAUAUAUAUAUAUAUAUGUAUGUAUAUAAGUAAUAAAUAAUGCAUAACAC